GACGAACGCUGGCGGCGUGCUUAACACAUGCAAGUCGAACGGAAAGGCCCUGCUUUUGUUGGUUGCUCGAGUGCCGAACGGGUGAGUAACACGUGAGUAACCUGCCCUUGACUUUGUGAUAACUUCAGGAAACUGGGGCUAAUACCGGGUAUGAGCUCCUGCUGCAUGGUGGGGGUUGGUAAGUUUCGGCGGUGGGGGAUGGACUCGCGGCUUAUCAGCUUGUUGGUGGGGUAGUGGCUUACCAAGGCUUUGACGGGUAGCCGGCCUGAGAGGGUGACCGGCGACAUUGGGACUGAGAUACGGCCCAGACUGCUACGGGAGGCAGCAGUGGGGAAUAUUGCACAGUGGGCGGAAGCCUGAUGCAGCAACGCCGCGUGCGGGAUGACGGCCUUCGGGUUGUAAACCGCUUUCGCCUGUGACGAAGCGGGAGUGACGGUAAUGGGUCAAGAAGCACCGGCUAACUACGUG
rnacentral:rRNA from 1 species